AAGGUCGGAGCCGUAGCGAAAGCAAGUCUGAAUAGGGCGUUGAGUAAUAUGCGGUAGACCCGAAACCGAGUGAUCUAGCCAUGGCCAGGAUGAAGUCCCGGUAACACGGGAUGGAGGUCCGAACCCACCAGCGUUGAAAAGCUGGGGGAUGAGCUGUGGUUAGGGGUGAAAGGCCAAUCAAACUCGGAGAUAUCUGGUUCUCGCCGAAAUGCCUUUAGGGGCAGCGUCAUGUUAGUAUACCGGGGGUAGAGCACUGAAUGGGCUAGGGGGCCUACAAGCUUACCGACCCCAAUCAAACUCCGAAUACCGGUAUUAUAAUGCAUGGCAGUGAGCUCAUGGGGGAUAAGCUUCAUGAACAAAAGGGAAAGAACCCAGACCAUCAGCUAAGGUCCCAAAGUCGAUGCUAAGUGAUAAAGGAUGUCAAAUCGCCCAGACAGCUAGGAGGUUGGCUUAGAAGCAGCCAUCCUUUAAAGAAAGCGUAAUAGCUCACUAGUCAAGGGGUUUUGCGCCGAUAAUUUCCGGGACUAAGCAUCGCACCGAAGCUAUGGAUCUCAAUACUUGUGUAUUGAGAUGGUAGGCGAGCGUUCCAUCGACCGUCGAAGGUUGACCCGUGAGGGCAGCUGGAGGAAAUGGAAAUGAGUAUGCUGGCAUGAGUAGCGAUAAAGCCUGUGAAAUGCAGGCUCGCCGCAAGCCCAAGGUUUCCUGAGUAAAGUUAAUCUGCUCAGGGUUAGUCGGACCCUAAGCCGAGGCCGAAAGGCGUAGGCGAUGGAAAACAGGUUUAAUAUUCCUGUACCAGUGCAACAUUGUUUGAACUAAGGGGGGACGCAGAAGUGAAAGGUCAGCCCGGUUUUGAUAGUCCGGGUUUAAGUGCGUAGGGAGUCCUGGUAGGCAAAUCCGCCGGGACAUUAAUCCUGAGACACGAAUAGGAGAGCCUAGCUCAUAAACUGACCCUAAUCAUGCUGCCAAGAAAAUCCUCUAUGUUAGAUGCUGCGCUGACCGUACCGUAAACGGACACACGUGGGCGAGGAGAGAAUCCUCAGGCGCUUGUGAGAAUCCAGGUUAAGGAACUCGGCAAAUUAGCCCCGUAACUUCGGGAGAAGGGGUGCCCUUAUUAGGUGAAAGACUUCGCGUCUGGAGCCGAAAAGGGUCGCAGUGACCAGGCUCAAUCGACUGUUUACUAAAAACACAGGUCUCUGCUAAGUCGCAAGACGACAUAUAGGGACUGACACCUGCCCGGUGCUGGAAGGUUAAAUGGAGGGGUUAGCUUCGGCGAAGCUCUGAAAUGAAGCCCCAGUAAACGGCGGCCGUAACUAUAACGGUCCUAAGGUAGCGAAAUUCCUUGUCGGGUAAGUUCCGACCUGCACGAAUGGUGUAACGAAUUGAGCACUGUCUCGACCUGGAGCACAGCGAAAUUGAAGUGUCGGUGAAGAUACCGGCUACCCGCGGCAGGACGAAAAGACCCCGUGAACCUUUACUACAACUUAGCAUUGGAUUCUGGUUCUGCAUGUGCAGGAUAGGUGGGAGGCUGUGAAACUUGGACGCUAGUCCGGGUGGAGCCAACCUUGAAAUACCACCCUUGUAUUGCUAGAACUCUAAUCCCGACCCGUGAAUCCGGGCGAGAGACAGUGUUAGGUGGGUAGUUUGACUGGGGCGGUCUCCUCCCAAAAGGUAACGGAGGAGCUCAAAGGUUCCCUCAGCACGGUCGGUAAUCGUGCGUAGAGUGCAAAGGCAUAAGGGAGCUUAACUGCGAGGUCGACGGACCGAGCAGAUGCGAAAGCAGGACUUAGUGAUCUGGUGGUUCCGUAUGGAAGGGCCAUCACUCAACGGAUAAAAGGUACUCCGGGGAUAACAGGCUUAUCUCCCCCAAGAGUUCACAUCGACGGGGAGGUUUGGCACCUCGAUGUCGGCUCAUCACAUCCUGGAGCUGGAGAAGGUUCCAAGGGUUGGGCUGUUCGCCCAUUAAAGUGGUACGUGAGCUGGGUUUAGAACGUCGUGAGACAGUUCGGUCUCUAUCCGCCGUGGGCGCAAGAUAUUUGAGGGAAUCUGCUUCUAGUACGAGAGGACCGAAGUGGACGAACCUCUGGUGUACCAGUUGUUCCAUCAGGAGCACGGCUGGGUAGCUAUGUUCGGUCCGGAUAAGCGCUGAAAGCAUAUAAGCGCGAAACCGAUCCCAAGAUUAGAUAUCUCUAACAUAAGUUAAUAAGGCUCGUUGUAGACUACGACGUUGAUAGGCUGCAGGUGUAAGUGUAGUAAUACAUUCAGCUGAGCAGUACUAAUAAGCCGAACGGCUUUACCAA
rnacentral:rRNA from 1 species